rnacentral:tRNA from 1 species
AGCUAAAAAACAAAAUAUUGUGUUUCAGUUUCGACCUGUUUUUCUGGUUACUUUAACCUUUAGCUA